rnacentral:SRP_RNA from 9 species
GCCGGGCGUGGCGGCUCACGCCUGUAAUCCCAGCACUUUGGGAGGCUGAGGUGGGCAGAUCAUGAGGUCAGGAGAUCGAGACCAUCCUGGCUACCAAGGUGAAACCCCAUCUCUA